UGUGUUGUUCCCAGUGCCUGCUAACCUUUCUCUUCACAAUUUCUCAGUACAGAACUGCUUAGUGACUCCAUCCAAAAUCCUGCUCCCGAAGAAGAAUUUGGUUGGUUGGUUACGGAACAGAAAGCAUAGUACUGGAAAGCGCUACCUUCCAACAUUGACUUCAAGUAGAAUUUGAGCAACAGAAUUAUGAAUGGGGACUUACUUCACUAAUCUGCAAAGCCCUGGAAAGCUGAUAAUAUACAACAGAGAACCCCUCAGAUGUGUGAGCGUGGCAUUUCUUUUUCACAAAGUGACCACACCUGAAGCAAAACACUGAAAGGACGUGGGCUACCGUGGAACUGCUUCAAGACCUCUGACAACCC